UUUAAUUUCAGGCCAAACUCUCACUCUACAACACAUUACAAAGUAUUGCAUAUAGGGCAGAUGUAAGCUCCUGGAUAUAAGAAGGAUGUCAUUGUGCCAUGGAAGAAUCAGUCUUACAAAGUGAGAAGCAGUGUGGGAUGACUGAGAGUGUACCCACCAUGGAUAACACAGAGGAAGAGGAGGAGUUCUAUGAUGCACCAGAUGCCUCCCAUGAGCAUAGCUUUGAGAAAGAAAACUCUCCUGCAACUGACU